GAUGAACGCUGGCGGCGUGCCUAAUACAUGCAAGUCGAGCGAAUGGAUUAAGAGCUUGCUCUUAUGAAGUUAGCGGCGGACGGGUGAGUAACACGUGGGUAACCUGCCCAUAAGACUGGGAUAACUCCGGGAAACCGGGGCCAAUACCGGAUAACAUUUUGAACCGCAUGGUUCGAAAUUGAAAGGCGGCUUCGGCUGUCACUUAUGGAUGGACCCGCGUCGCAUUAGCUAGUUGGUGAGGUAACGGCUCACCAAGGCAACGAUGCGUAGCCGGCCUGAGAGGUUGAUCGGCCACAAUGGGACUGAGACACGGCCGAGACUCCUACGGGAAGCAGCAGUAGGGAAUCUUCCGCAAUGGACGAAAGUCUGACGGAGCAACGCCGCGUGAGUGAUGAAGGCUUUCGGGUCGUAAAACUCUGUUGUUAGGGAAGAACAAGUGCUAGUUGAAUAAGCUGGCACCUUGACGGUACCUAACCAGAAAGCCACGACUAACUACGUGCCAGCCGCCGCCGUAA
rnacentral:rRNA from 1 species